GAGGGUUUCCGCCCUUUAGUGCUGCAGCAAACGCAUUAAGCACUCCGCCUGGGGAGUACGGUCGCAAGACUGAAACUCAAAGGAAUUGACGGGGGCCCGCACAAGCGGGGGAGCAUGUGGUUUAAUUCGAAGCAACGCGAAAAACCUUACCAGGUCUUGACAUCCUCUGACAACCCUAAAAAUAGGGCUUCCCCUUCGGGGGCAAAGUGACAGGUGGGGCAUGGUUGUCGUCAGCUCGUGUCGUGAAAUGUUGGGUUAAGUCCCCCAACGAGCGCAACCCUUGAUCUUAUUUGCCAGCUUUCAGUUGGGCACUCUAAGGGGACUGCCGGUGACAAACCGGAGGAAGGGGGGGAUGACGUCAAAUCAUCUUGCCCCUUAUGACCUGGGCUACACACGUGCUACAAUGGGCAAAACAAAGGGCAGCAAAGCCGCGAGGCUAAGCCAAUCCCACAAAUCUGUUCUCAUUUCGGAUCGCAGUCUGCAACUCGACUGCGUGAAGCUGGAAUCGCUAGUAAUCGCGGAUCAGCAUGCCGCGGUGAAUACGUUCCCGGGCCUUGUACACACCGCCCGUCACCCCACGAGAGUUUGUAACACCCGAAGUCGG
rnacentral:rRNA from 1 species